rnacentral:rRNA from 1 species
UUUAUGGAGAGUUUGAUCCUGGCUCAGGAUGAACGCUGGCGGCGUGCCUAAUACAUGCAAGUCGAGCGAACGGACGAGAAGCUUGCUUCUCUGAUGUUAGCGGCGGACGGGUGAGUAACACGUGGAUAACCUACCUAUAAGACUGGGAUAACUUCGGGAAACCGGAGCUAAUACCGGAUAAUAUUUUGAACCGCAUGGUUCAAAAGUGAAAGACGGUCUUGCUGUCACUUAUAGAUGGAUCCGCGCUGCAUUAGCUAGUUGGUAAGGUAACGGCUUACCAAGGCAACGAUGCAUAGCCGACCUGAGAGGGUGAUCGGCCACACUGGAACUGAGACACGGUCCAGACUCCUACGGGAGGCAGCAGUAGGGAAUCUUCCGCAAUGGGCGAAAGCCUGACGGAGCAACGCCGCGUGAGUGAUGAAGGUCUUCGGAUCGUAAAACUCUGUUAUUAGGGAAGAACAUAUGUGUAAGUAACUGUGCACAUCUUGACGGUACCUAAUCAGAAAGCCACGGCUAACUACGUGCCAGCAGCCGCGGUAAUACGUAGGUGGCAAGCGUUAUCCGGAAUUAUUGGGCGUAAAGCGCGCGUAGGCGGUUUUUUAAGUCUGAUGUGAAAGCCCACGGCUCAACCGUGGAGGGUCAUUGGAAACUGGAAAACUUGAGUGCAGAAGAGGAAAGUGGAAUUCCAUGUGUAGCGGUGAAAUGCGCAGAGAUAUGGAGGAACACCAGUGGCGAAGGCGACUUUCUGGUCUGUAACUGACGCUGAUGUGCGAAAGCGUGGGGAUCAAACAGGAUUAGAUACCCUGGUAGUCCACGCCGUAAACGAUGAGUGCUAAGUGUUAGGGGGUUUCCGCCCCUUAGUGCUGCAGCUAACGCAUUAAGCACUCCGCCUGGGGAGUACGACCGCAAGGUUGA